GGCGGGAUAGCUCAGGCGGUAGAGCAAACGGCUCAUAAUCGUUGUGUCACGGGUUCGAGUCCCGUUCCCGCUACCA
rnacentral:tRNA from 1 species